UGGCGUUUUCACUGCACAGGUUUAACGUUAAACACCAGAGUGCGCUUUUAAAAAUUGAAUGCAAAAUGAAUUUCAUAUAUUGAUCAUUGGAAAUCCUCUUUUUACUACCGCACCUGCCUCUUAAAUAUGAUAACAUUUUAUAUUUGGUCGCAAAUUCAAGAUUACAGUUAGCAUUACAUUUAUACGUUGAUGGAUACUUUAGAACUUUUUGUAAAAAUUGUCUGUGUUGCAACAAAAUAAAGAAUUCGGUCUUUCUAUUGCAUCGUACUACAUUAUCGUACUAAUUUUUAUUAACAAAGUAAUUAAAGGAUGAAGUCCAUCAUUUUACUUCUUUUCAUCGGUAUUUCAAUAGUCACAGCCAUGCAUUGCCCUGAGAAUUUCUGCUUAAAUUCCUCAUGUCAGAAACGAACAUGUGGUCCCGACGAAAAACUUUAUAGAAAUGGGAAUUGUGAUUGUUGUGGCAAAUGUAUUCAAUUAAAAAAGGAAGGAUCUCCUUGCAAAGUCCACGAGGUUUUGAAUUUUAGAAUGGCACCAGCUGACAUGAAGUUUAUGAAUUCUGACUGUGAUGAGGGACUUAGCUGCAAAUUUAAUAAAUGCACCAAAGACUAAAUACUCUCUUGUAAAUAUCAUUAGAGUGUACUUCAGUGUUAUGUAAUGAAGUUGUUUUAUUUUAUUUGCUAUUACUACGCAUCCAUUAAAUUAUCUGAUAUUUUA